rnacentral:misc_RNA from 1 species
GUAGGUGAACCUGCGGAAGGAUCAUUAUCGUGAAUCCACACGUAUUUACUUUUUGUGAAUCGUCUAAUUGUUGUUUGUUUUUUGUUUGGAUGGGAUGGAUGGUCGAUAUCAUUAUUGAUCAUUCGUUUCAAACAAACAAACACAAACACAACACAUUACAACUAUUAACCACUUGUAACCUUUUAAUUGUACUGAAACAAACAAAACUCGUUUUUGUUCUGUCUUCGGAUAGAAUAAAACAAGUUAUGAU